UACGGAGGGUGCAAGCGUUAUCCGGAUUCACUGGGUUUAAAGGGUGCGUAGGAGGGCAGGUAAGUCAGUGGUGAAAUCUCCAAGCUUAACUUGGAAACUGCCGUUGAUACUAUCUGUCUUGAAUACCGUGGAGGUGAGCGGAAUAUGUCAUGUAGCGGUGAAAUGCUUAGAUAUCAGGAGGAAUACCGAUGGCGAAGGCAGGUCUCUGGGCUAUAACUGACGCUCAUGCACGAAAGCGUGGGGAGCAAACAGG
rnacentral:rRNA from 1 species